AUUGAACGCUGGCGGCAUGCUUUACACAUGCAAGUCGAACGGCAGCGCGGGCUUCGGCCUGGCGGCGAGUGGCGAACGGGUGAGUAAUGCAUCGGAACGUGCCCAGUAGUGGGGGAUAGCCCGGCGAAAGCCGGAUUAAUACCGCAUACGACCUGAGGGUGAAAGCGGGGGACCGAAAGGCCUCGCGCUAUUGGAGCGGCCGAUGUCGGAUUAGCUAGUUGGUGGGGUAAAGGCUUACCAAGGCGACGAUCCGUAGCUGGUCUGAGAGGACGACCAGCCACACUGGGACUGAGACACGGCCCAGACUCCUACGGGAGGCAGCAGUGGGGAAUUUUGGACAAUGGGGGCAACCCUGAUCCAGCCAUGCCGCGUGCGGGAAGAAGGCCUUCGGGUUGUAAACCGCUUUUGUUCGGGAAGAAAUCCUCUGGGCUAAUACCCCGGGGGGAUGACGGUACCGGAAGAAUAAACACCGGCUAACUACGUG
rnacentral:rRNA from 1 species